rnacentral:rRNA from 1 species
UACGUAGGGUGCGAGCGUUGUCCGGAAUUAUUGGGCGUAAAGAGCUCGUAGGCGGUCUGUUGCGUCCGCUGUGAAAACCCGGGGCUUAACCCCUGGCUUGCAGUGGAUACGGACAGACUAGAGGUAGGUAGGGGAGAAUGGAAUUCCCGGUGUAGCGGUGAAAUGCGCAGAUAUCGGGAGGAACACCGGUGGCGAAGGCGGUUCUCUGGGCCUUACCUGACGCUGAGGAGCGAAAGCGUGGGGAGCGAACAGG